GUCCAUGUAGCUCAGCUGGAUAGAGCAUCCGCCUUCUAAGCGGACGGUCGGGAGUUCGAAUCUCUCCAUGGACGCCA
rnacentral:tRNA from 1 species